rnacentral:rRNA from 1 species
GACGAACGCUGGCGGCGUGCCUAACACAUGCAAGUCGAGCGAAUGAAGUUCCUUCGGGUGUGGAUUUAGCGGCGGACGGGUGAGUAACACGUGGGCAACCUGCCUCAUAGAGUGUAAUAGCCUCCCGAAAGGGAGAGUAAUACCGCAUAAGAUUGUAGUACCGCAUGAUACAGCAAUUAAAGGAGCAAUCCGCUAUGAGAUGGCGCCGCGGCGGAUUAGUUAGUUGGUGAGGUGAUGGCUACCCAAGGCGUGGAUGCGUGGCUGACCUGGGGGGGUGACCGGCCAGAUUGGGACUGCGACCCGGACCAGACUCCUACGGGAGGCAGCAGUGGGGAGUAUUGCACAAUGGGGGAAACCCUGAUGAAGCAACGCCGCGUGAGUGAUGACGGCCUUCGGGUUGUAAAGCUCUGUCUUCAGAGACGAUAAUGACGGUACCUGAGGAGGAAGCAACGGCUAACUACGUG